GCAGUCGAGGGGUAUGCCGAUUUAUCGGCAGAGACCGGCGCACGGGUGCGUAACGCGUAUGCAAUCUGCCUUUCACAGAGGGAUAGCCCAGAGAAAUUUGGAUUAAUACCUCAUAGUAUAAUCGGACCGCAUGGUUUAAUUAUUAAAGUCACAACGGUGAAAGAUGAGCAUGCGUCCCAUUAGCUAGUUGGUAAGGUAACGGCUUACCAAGGCAACGAUGGGUAGGGGUCCUGAGAGGGAGAUCCCCCACACUGGUACUGAGACACGGACCAGACUCCUACGGGAGGCAGCAGUGAGGAAUAUUGGACAAUGGGCGCAAGCCUGAUCCAGCCAUGCCGCGUGCAGGAUGACGGUCCUAUGGAUUGUAAACUGCUUUUGUACGAGAAGAAACACUCCUAUGUAUAGGAGCUUGACGGUAUCGUAAGAAUAAGGAUCGGCUAACUCCGUGCCAGCAGCCGCGGUAAUACGGAGGAUCCAAGCGUUAUCCGGAAUCAUUGGGUUUAGAGGGUCCGUAGGCGGUUUAGUAAGUCAGUGGUGAAAGCCCAUCGCUCAACGGUGGAACGGCCAUUGAUACUGCUGAACUUGAAUUAUUAGGAAGUAACUAGAAUAUGUAGUGUAGCGGUGAAAUGCUUAGAGAUUACAUGGAAUACCAAUUGCGAAGGCAGGUUACUACUAAUGGAUUGACGCUGAUGGACGAAAGCGUGGGUAGCGAACAGGAUUAGAUACCCUGGUAGUCCACGCCGUAAACGAUGGAUACUAGCUGUUGGGAGCAAUUUCAGUGGCUAAGCGAAAGUGAUAAGUAUCCCACCUG
rnacentral:rRNA from 1 species